rnacentral:rRNA from 1 species
GACGAACGCUGGCGGCGUGCCUAAUACAUGCAAGUUGAGCGCUGAAGGUUGGUACUUGUACCAACUGGAUGAGCAGCGAACGGGUGAGUAACGCGUGGGGAAUCUGCCUUUGAGCGGGGGACAACAUUUGGAAACGAAUGCUAAUACCGCAUAAAAACUUUAAACACAAGUUUUAAGUUUGAAAGAUGCAAUUGCAUCACUCAAAGAUGAUCCCGCGUUGUAUUAGCUAGUUGGUGAGGUAAAGGCUCACCAAGGCGAUGAUACAUAGCCGACCUGAGAGGGUGAUCGGCCACAUUGGGACUGAGACACGGCCCAAACUCCUACGGGAGGCAGCAGUAGGGAAUCUUCGGCAAUGGACGAAAGUCUGACCGAGCAACGCCGUGUGAGUGAAGAAGGUUUUCGGAUCGUAAAACUCUGUUGGUAGAGAAGAACGUUGGUGAGAGUGGAAAGCUCAUCAAGUGACGGUAACUACCCAGAAAGGGACGACUAACUACGUG